GAUGAACGCUAGCUACAGGCUUAACACAUGCAAGUCGAGGGACCGGCGCACGGGUGAGUAACACGUAUACAACCUGCCCUUUACCCGGGGAUAGCCUUUCGACAGAAAGAUUAAUACCCGAUGUAAAGGACGGGCUUGCGUUACAUUAGGUGGUUGGUGAGAUAACGGCUCACCAAGCCUUCGUUGGAUAGGGGUUCUGAUAGGAAGGCCCCCCACAUUGGAACUGAGACACGGUCCAAACUGCUACGGGAGGCAGGAGUGAGGAAUAGUGGUCAAUGGGCGUUAGCCUGGACCAGCCAAGUAGCGUGAAGGAUGAAGGGUUAUGGGUCGUAAGCUUCUUUUAUAUAAGAAUGUGUAUUAUAUGAAUAAGGAUCGGCUAACUCCGUGCCAGCAGCCGCGGUAAUAC
rnacentral:rRNA from 1 species